CCUUGGGUUGUGCCGUGGCGGAGAUCUUUGUGGGCUAUACUCGGCCUUGUCUCAGCAUGUGUCCCACAUGGUCAUUGAAGAGGUCAACAGCAUUCAAGAGAAUCUGGACAUAGAGAGGCCAUGCAGACACAGUGUGGAAGCCAUGACCUCCAAGGUUUGGAUAACCACAUAGGAAGACAGAAAGAGGGAGAGAAGGAUAAGAGAAGGUCUAGCAGAUGAAUCAAAGCCAUUCUUCAAUUAAAAAAAAAGGGGAGAGAAAAAGAUGUUGCUUACAACAACCAUGGAGAGAACAGCAUUAUAAAAGCGCUCCAAUAUGGGUCAGACCAGCCUUGUAAAGGGGUCUUUGUUCUCUUCUCUCUCUGGUGAAAACAAUGCAAGAGAAAAAUGAAGACAUCUCUUUUCUUACUGUGAUAAAUGGGCUUUACUGGAACAUCAUAAAAUGAAUCUUCCAGAAUGAACUAAAAUAUCAGAGAACCUUGAAUGCUGUGUCACUGUAUAAUCCUCUAUUGUUCACGCAGGGGACAUACAAGUCUAAAGGACAGCCUAAACACAGAGUAAAGAAUUUAGAACACAUGAUUACAAAUGCAUUGUUGUCAAUUACAACCACCUGGAAAUAUUGUACUGUUUUCCCGUGAAAUGUUUUUUCUUGUCAAAUGAUGAGCUUCCCUUAUAUUUAGGCACUACCUUUGUAGUGCCUCUCAAACCUCUCCUCGGGUAUCCCCAGAUGUUUCACCAUUUUGUUCUAGCCUUGAACUAGCUCACCUGAUCAAGAGCUUGAUGAUUAAAUCAGGCAUAGAUCUCCGUAGGCACAGCCUACCUUCUAUGGUUUUGUCAUAGUGCUCUGCACACCACUUUAGUCUGACAAACAGUUUUUCCCAAUACAAGGAGUAUGUGUGAGGUGGUAGACAUCUUAAUAGGAUACUGUGAGAUCCAACUAAUUCAUUAUUUUUUCCAAUAUGGAAGGUAUUAGGAUAUAGUGUGAAAAAUAAAUAAUAGAAAAUGAAUUAAAUGUGUUUGAAUCCAAAGAAAGUGCCAUUUUGAAGAUGACAGCAUUGUCAGCUCAUUUACAUUUAAAUUGAACACAACAUAUUUUGGUAGGUCUCAUGUAAAAAGACAGCCAAACUGACUUCUGUGAGUCAUUUGUUUCAUUUUCUUGAGCCCAGCGCUGGUAAUUCUGACUGCUAACAGCACCCAAGGAAAAAAAAA